CACAUAUAAUCUGCUCGUAAAUCAAAUUUUCUCGACAAAUUUACUUCAACAUUUCUUACUUGAUAAUCGUCAUCCAUCUACUUUACUGUUCUUCCAUUUCGUCAUCUCCAGGGGAAGAAAACGCAGGCUUUGAACAAUUGGGUUAGGAUUCAACAGGACCAAGAAAAAUUGUUUUCUUUUUUCGAGUUUUUGGAACUUUGAGUUCUUAUAAAACCAUUCUUCAUCACAUCGGUUUCAUUGUUUUAUUGGGUUGGGACUCAAACGGAGUGAGAACCAUGCCUCCUCAGUCUUCAGGUUUACUUGGAACUUUGGAAAUUUUGAUGGCAUGAGUGGAGUCGG